ACGAUACUCCCUUCGUCCGAAAAAUUUGUCAUCAAAAUGGAUAAAAAGAGGUGUAUCUAGAACUAAAAUAUAUCUAGAUACAUCUUUUUUUAUUCAUUUUGAUGGACGGAGGGAGUACUUC
rfam:Triticum aestivum genome assembly, contig: Triticum_aestivum_CS42_TGACv1_scaffold_320254_4BL